rnacentral:rRNA from 1 species
UACAGGGGGGGCAAGCGUUGUUCGGAAUUACUGGGCGUAAAGGGUCUGUAGGUGGCCCACUAAGUCAGACGUGAAAUCCCUCGGCUUGACCGGGGAACUGCGUCUGAUACUGGAUGGCUUGAGUUUGGGAGAGGGAUGCGGAAUUCCAGGUGUAGCGGUGAAAUGCGUAGAUAUCUGGAGGAAUACCGGUGGCGAAGGCGGCAUCCUGGACCGACAUUGACGCUGAACGGCGAAAGCUAGGGGAGCAAACGGG